GGGUUGUGAGGUUAAGCGACUAAGCGUACACGGUGGAUGCCCUGGCAGUCAGAGGCGAUGAAGGACGUGCUAAUCUGCGAUAAGCGCCGGUAAGGUGAUAUGAACCGUUAUAACCGGCGAUUUCCGAAUGGGGAAACCCAGUGUGACUCGUCACACUAUCAUUAACUGAAUCCAUAGGUUAAUGAGGCGAACCGGGGGAACUGAAACAUCUAAGUACCCCGAGGAAAAGAAAUCAACCGAGAUUCCCCCAGUAGCGGCGAGCGAACGGGGAGGAGCCCAGAGCCUGAAUCAGCAUGUGUGUUAGUGGAAGCGUCUGGAAAGGCGCGCGAUACAGGGUGACAGCCCCGUACACAAAAGCGCAUGUGCUGUGAGCUCGAUGAGUAGGGCGGGACACGUGGUAUCCUGUCUGAAUAUGGGGGGACCAUCCUCCAAGGCUAAAUACUCCUGACUGACCGAUAGUGAACCAGUACCGUGAGGGAAAGGCGAAAAGAACCCCGGCGAGGGGAGUGAAAAAGAACCUGAAACCGUGUACGUACAAGCAGUGGGAGCCCCACCACUAAGCCAGUGGUGAACUCCACAUACGCAUCCUUUGCUGAGGAUACGGU
rnacentral:rRNA from 1 species